UGUUCUGCUGCUGUAGCCCACCUGCUUCAAGGUUCGAUGUGUUGUGCGUUCAGAGAUGGUAUUCUGCAUACUUUGGUUAACGAGUGGUUAUUUGAGUUACUGUUGCCUUUCUGCCAUCUUGAAACAGUCUGCAUAUUGUCCUCUGACCUCUGACAUGCCGCUCACUGGAUAUUUUCUCUUUCUGUAAACCCUAGAGAUUGUUGUGCGUGAAAAUCCCAGUAGAUAAGCAGUUUCUGAAAUACUCAGACCAGCCGGUCUGGCACCAACAACCAUGCCAUGUUCAAAGUUAUUUACAUGCCCUUUCUUCCCCAUUCUGAAGCUUGCUUUAAACUUAAGUAAGUUGUCUUGACCACGUCUACAUGCCUAGAUGCAUUGAGUUGCUGCCAUGUGAUUGGCUGAUUAGCUUUUUGUGUUAACAAGCAAUUGAACAGGUGUACCUAAUAACAUAGCCAGUGAGUGUAUAAUUCUUUAUCAGACCAACCACCACUGUAGAAAGCACUUCAAAGAGAGUGGCAUCAAUAUGCUGCAAUCAUUUGCUUUGGGAUCCGUCAUUUUUCUUUUCUUACUUGAAGAAUCCACUGUUGCAGGAGACUGGGCAUCAAAAGUCCUGCAAAUCAGUCUGAUAUAAAGUUAUCUAUCAGUGAGGGGGAUGUUUCUGCUCACUUUUACUAUGUCAGAUGUCAUGGUCUUCAGUGGGAUGAGUCUAGGCUCCUGCAUAUGGACCUCCUGCUCAUCAGCAACUAUCCAUGGAAAAUCCUGAAGAGGGAAAUGCAGAAAUGUGACAACACAUGUAUAUAAUUAUUCAGUGUUUACAUAUUGUUAUAUAACUAUGUGCUCCUGCUUGCUUUUAUUGUUUUUGUGCUUUUGCUUGUGUACUCUGUAAAGCAUCAUGGGUUGCCUUUGGGUAUGAAACAUUCUAUAUAAACCCAUUUGCCUUGCCUCA